rnacentral:ribozyme from 13 species
GGGAAGUCCCCUGUUCUGGAUGCUGCUGAUCGUGGAUCGGGUGCCGGGCGAGACGCCUGGCGAAGAGCUGGAUGACGUGCCGGGGCUUCUGAGGACGGCGAGGGAGGACGCCACGCGCCGUAUUUUGCCGCCGGGUGAAACGAGCAGGUCCCGCUUG